rnacentral:rRNA from 1 species
UGGGGAAUAUUGCACAAUGGGGGAAACCCUGAUGCAGCGACGCCGCGUGAACGAAGAAGGUAUUCGUAUCGUAAAGUUCUGUCCUAUGGGAAGAUAAUGACAGUACCAUAGAAGAAAGCUCCGUCUAAAUACUUGCCAGCAGCCGCGGUAAUACGUAUGGAGCGAGCGUUGUCCGGAAUUAUUGGGCGUAAAGGGUACGCAGGCGGUUUGAUAAGUCGAAUGUUAAAGAUCGGGGCUCAACCCCGCAAAGCAUUGGAAACUGAUAAACUUGAGUAGUGGAGAGGAAAGUGGAAUUCCUAGUGUAGUGGUGAACUACGUAGAUAUUAGGAGGAAUACCAGUAGCGAAGGCGACUUUCUGGACACAAACUGACGCUGAGGUACGAAAGCGUGGGGAGCAAACAGG